UGGCGGACGGGUGAGUAACGCGUGGGCAACCUGCCCCAUACAGGGGGAUAACAGCCGGAAACGGCUGCUAAAACCGCAUAAGCGCACAAGGGCCGCAUGGCCUGGUGUGAAAAACUCCGGUGGUAUGGGAUGGGCCCGCGUCUGAUUAGCUAGUUGGCGGGGGAGAGGCCCACCAAGGCGACGAUCGGUAGCCGGACUGAGAGGUUGGCCGGCCACAUUGGGACUGAGAUACGGCCCAGACUCCUACGGGAGGCAGCAG
rnacentral:rRNA from 1 species